rnacentral:rRNA from 1 species
UACAGAGGGUGCAAGCGUUGUUCGGAAUUAUUGGGCGUAAAGCGCGUGUAGGCGGCCAGGCAAGUUAGGUGUGAAAGCCCUCGGCUUAACCGAGGAAGUGCGCCUAAAACUACUUGGCUUGAGUACCGGAGAGGACGGUGGAAUUCCCGGUGUAGAGGUGAAAUUCGUAGAUAUCGGGAGGAACACCGGUGGCGAAGGCGGCGACCUGGGUCGAUACUGACGCUGAUGCGCGAAAGCGUGGGGAGCAAACAGG